UACGGAGGUGGCAAGCGUUGCUCGGAAUCACUGGGCGUAAAGGGUGCGUAGGCGGGUCUUUUAAGUCAGGGGUGAAAUCCUGGAGCUCAACUCCAGAACUGCCUUUGAUACUGAAGAUCUUGAGUUCGGGAGAGGUGAGUGGAACUGCGAGUGUAGAGGUGAAAUUCGUAGAUAUUCGCAAGAACACCAGUGGCGAAGGCGGCUCACUGGCCCGAUACUGACGCUGAGGCACGAAAGCGUGGGGAGCAAACAGGA
rnacentral:rRNA from 1 species